rnacentral:lncRNA from 1 species
GGUUUUCUAUUUUUUUUUUUUUUUUUUUUUUACGUGUAUGAUAUUGUAACAAAAUUUAAGGCAACAUCCCUCCCGCUAAUUAGUGUUUCCACGGCACUGCAAAAGCUACAGCUGUAGGAAGAAUUCAGGAAAAGUAAUCAGCAGCACAAUUAAGCAAUCUGCCGUAAUGACAGAACACAACAUUAGGGUAGAAUAAUCAGAAACAUAUAUAUUUUUCCUCCUUGAUUUUCAUUUCCCACCCAGUGAUUCGCUUUUGCUGGGCAUCUACAGAGUGAUGCCCGAUAGAAAUGGCCACGUUUAGCGGCUGCAGCUUUGGACCCUGCUCCAGUGACAAUGCCCACAUUAAUUCUUGCCAACCACUUGCAGCUAGCAUCGCUUUUAAUGUAUUUUGUUGAAAACUGAAUGUUUGACUAUCUCUACUCCUGACAUUGACAUUGUCUUUACCUGUUUUAGAAAGGGCUCAGCUCUCCUAGUGGGAUGGGGUGGCUCGUGGUGCUUCUGCAGCCAUGGCCAAGAGAGGGAAGUGCCUACACCUGUGGGCAGGCGGUGAUGGAAUGAGCCUGUGCUGCUUUCCCAGACCAUCCCAGGGCUACAAGAGCCCAAGAGGAGGAUGAGCUUUUCUAGGGGUGGAUUGGAAAGAAGAAAGUACAGCUCUGUGGAAAGAGAGCUGAAGGGAAGGAAGAGAGGCAAAUGGAUGUAUUGUGUAGGGGCUUAUCCACGGAGGACUGUGAAACUACAAAUUACAAUCCAGCUGCAUUUUCUUAUCUGGAGAUUUUUCCUCCCAUGUGCUUGUGAGUCCUCUUUUCUACACAAGUAGAAGGUGCAAAUGGAAACUUCUGAGAAAGUGGAGACCUAACCUGAAGUCAGAAGGGUCCCUGACAGCACAGAAGAUCCCAUCCACAUGAGUGGAUGCUAUGUUUGGAUGGGAUGAUGUGGCUGGUGCCUCUCCUGAGCUGGAGGGAGCCACAUUCACAUAGGCUGUGGUGUCUCUGGAUUUAGUGGUGAUUUUUUUCUUUGUGACUGCUUGGAGUUUUUUGUUUGUAACUGACUCUACAAAAUCAACAACAGAGGUGACAGUCAGCACAUCUGCUGAAAGCUUCUCCACCAAGGAGGAAGGGAAAGAGGGCUACCCCUCCUCUGGUUACUGAUGAUGGCAGCAAAAUAGGGGACCCACCCAUCCGACC